rnacentral:rRNA from 1 species
AGAGUUUGAUUAUGGCUCAGAGCGAACGCUGGCGGCAGGCUAACACAUGCAAGUCGAACGGACCUUUCGGGGUUAGUGGCGGACGGGUGAGUAACACGUGGGAACGUGCCCUUUAGGUUCGGAAUAGCUCCUGGAAACGGGUGGUAAUGCCGAAUGUGCCCUUCGGGGGAAAGAUUUAUCGCCUUUAGAGCGGCCCGCGUCUGAUUAGCUUGUUGGUGAGGUAAUGGCUCACCAAGGCGACGAUCAGUAGCUGGUCUGAGAGGAUGACCAGCCACAUUGGGACUGAGACACGGCCCAAACUCCUACGGGAGGCAGCAGUGGGGAAUCUUGCGCAAUGGGCGAAAGCCUGACGCAGCCAUGCCGCGUGGAUGAUGAAGGUCUUAGGAUUGUAAAAUCCUUUCACCGGUGAAGAUAAUGACUGUAGCCGGAGAAGAAGCCCCGGCUAACUUCGUGCCAGCAGCCGCGGUAAUACGAAGGGGGCUAGCGUUGCUCGGAAUUACUGGGCGUAAAGGGAGCGUAGGCGGACAUUUAAGUCAGGGGUGAAAUCCCAGAGCUCAACUCUGGAACUGCCUUUGAUACUGGGUGUCUUGAGUGUGAGAGAGGUGUGUGGAACUCCGAGUGUAGAGGUGAAAUUCGUAGAUAUUCGGAAGAACACCAGUGGCGAAGGCGACAUACUGGCUCAUUACUGACGCUGAGGCUCGAAAGCGUGGGGAGCAAACAGGAUUAGAUACCCUGGUAGUCCACGCCGUAAACGAUGAUUGCUAGUUGUCGGGAAGCUCGCUUUUCGGUGACGCAGCUAACGCAUUAAGCAAUCCGCCUGGGGAGUACGGUCGCAAGAUUAAAACUCAAAUGAAUUGACGGGG